CGUUUUUGGAUUAUCAAUAUCAACAUUCACUCAUUCAGAGCUAUUAUCUGUUUUAUUUGUAAACAAUCUAUGUUUUACAUACAAUAGUUUUCAUUUCAUAGUUCACUUAUUACUGUAUGCUAUUUGUUUCAGAUACCAGUGCCCUCACAUCUGUCAUGAUCUGAGUUCGGAUUUAGAGUUUGAAGUUCGAGAUAGUCAGAUAGAAUAUGGAUUUCACGAACGACCUAAGUUUUUUUGGAUUUGCGGUGACUGAACAGGAGCAGGAGAGUUUUGUGGUGUCAUCUGAAACUGAUAGAAAUGAACACAAUGUUGAGUCUGGAGACCAAGCGGAUAAUUUAUUGUUUGACUGCAACAAUAAUGAAAAAGCCACAGAGCAACCUUUAGACUUAGAAUGUUCUGUUGAAAUUGUUGUUGACAAUAAGAAGAAACAUGAAUGCAAUAUGUGUGUAAACAAAUAUAGCACAAGAACAGGAUACAAAAGGCAUUUAGUUAGCCAUUCCAACGAUGGUCAAAAGUGCACUGUUUGCGAAAAAGUGUUCUAUUCCACCUAUGACUUAAAGAAUCAUAUGAGCAACCACAGUAACUUACGCACUUUCUCGUGCAUUGAAUGUGAAAAAAACCUUUAAAACAAAACGCGACUUAAAUGUUCACAGAACAAGGCUACACAAAUCUUACUUGAAAUUUGUGUGUGAAGUAUGUGGGAAGGGUUACAAUUAUAGAAAUGAGUUAGAUGGACACAGGGCAAAACAUGAUGGGUCCAAACCAUUUAAGUGUCCUAAGUGCAACAAAGCAUAUCAGUACUUGCCUAACCUGUCACAGCAUGUGUGCGGAAAAAUGGAAUCACCCAAGUGUGAUAAGUGUGGAAGCAUUUUCAAGACAAAACACUACCUUCAAGAACACAUGAAGGCUCAUGAUGACCCCGAACAACAUCAGUGUUAUGUGUGUGGAACUUUUUACAAAUAUAGAUCUUCUUUUUAAAGACACAAAAAGAAGACUGGUCAUUAGUGUUUUAAAUGCUUUAGUCAGAAUAAGUACAGAUAAAACUCUGGAUAUAUUAUAAUGUUAUAAAGGCAUAUAAUUACGGUAUACAGUUAUAUCUGUUUACUGUAAGGCCUUAGCAGAAACUUAAUGGCAAUAGUAAACCCUUAUGAACCUUAUAAGCACUUGUUUUUCAGCCAGUCUUCAUCAUGAUGUUUGCUCAGAAGAUUUGCUUAGCAAUUAGGAAAUCAUUUUGUUGACAUAAAGAAGCAUUGCUUUUGAGAAAUUACCAAUACCCGGUAUACCAGCUGCAUGAAAUUAAUUCAUAUUGUGGCAUUUAUUUUUUUAAUGCAGUCAUCUGAAUAUUAAUCCUGCCUUAAAAUAUAGUGUAGCAUUGUUGGAUUGUGUCCUUCUUAAGAUGAUGAUGAUGAUGAUUAUUUGGUUGAUGAUUAACAGCAACAAACUGUCUGAAUACGUUUUAUUUAACAUUCUUGCUAUUUCAGGUAAUGACAUUUAUUGUUGGAGAAUAUUACAACUGUUAGAAUUUAAAUUGUUAUUAAACAGUAUUUGCAUAUUGGGUAUAUAUGUGUUAGGGCUCUGCAUUAAGGUUAUUCUGUUAAAACUACAUGUAUUUGAAAGCUUGAUGCAUGGUAUAUGUUUGUUAGGGCUAACUUGCAGUUGUUAAAUAAUAUUUUCUACCCCAUUUACGAGAUGCCAUGGUGACAAGCCAGCAUUUGAUUGUAUGAAGUUUUAUUUCUUUGAGCAAGAUGCUUGAUGAUAAUUGCAACUUUUUCUUUCAACAAUAUAUGAAUUGUGUUAUUUGUGUAUAUAUUUUUCAUUCAGUUUUCACAAGACAAAAGAAACAGGCUUUCUUAUAUUCAUUCUUUAUUGAAGUGUCUAUUGACUGAAAAGUAUUAACUGUAUAAUAUAAAUGUAUAAAAUCAUGGCAGGAGCUGCUGGUCUUUAAGUUCAUUUUAAGUUUGACUAUUGUUUUAAUUUUUGCUGGUUUAAUGUUGAGUAUUAUCAAUAAAUGUGUUCUUUGUAGUUUCCUAAUACAAUAUUACAGAAAAGAAUAAAUAACUAAACAGAG